rnacentral:rRNA from 1 species
GAUGAACGCUGGCGGCGUGCCUAAUACAUGCAAGUCGAGCGAACGGACGAGAAGCUUGCUUCUCUGAUGUUAGCGGCGGACGGGUGAGUAACACGUGGAUAACCUACCUAUAAUACUGGGAUAACUUCGGGAAACCGUAGCUAAUACCGGAUAAUAUUUUGAACCGCAUGGUUCAAAAGUGAAUGACGGUCUUGCUGUCACUUAUAGAUGGAUCCGCGCUGCAUUAGCUAGUUGGUAAGGUAACGGCUGACCAAGGCAACGAUGCAUAGCCGACCUGAGAGGGUGAUCGGCCACACUGGAACUGAGACACGGUCCAGACUCCUACGGGAGGCAGCAGUAGGGAAUCUUCCGCAAUGGGCGAAAGCCUGACGGAGCAACGCCGCGUGAGUGAUGAAGGUCUUCGGAUCGUAAAACUCUGUUAUUAGGGAAGAACAUAUGUGUAAGUAACUGUGCACAUCUUGACGGUACCUAAUCAGAAAGCCACGGCUAACUACGUG